rnacentral:rRNA from 1 species
GGAUUGCCUCAGUAACGGCGAGUGAAGCGGCAAGAGCUCAAAUUUGAAAGCUGGCUCCUUCGGAGUCCGCAUUGUAAUUUGCAGAGGAUGCUUUGGGUGCGGCCCCCGUCUAAGUGCCCUGGAACGGGCCGUCAGAGAGGGUGAGAAUCCCGUCUUGGGCGGGGUGUCCGUGCCCGUGUAAAGCUCCUUCGACGAGUCGAGUUGUUUGGGAAUGCAGCUCUAAAUGGGUGGUAAAUUUCAUCUAAAGCUAAAUACUGGCCGGAGACCGAUAGCGCACAAGUAGAGUGAUCGAAAGAUGAAAAGCACUUUGAAAAGAGAGUUAAACAGCACGUGAAAUUGUUGAAAGGGAAGCGCUUGCGACCAGACUCGCCCGCGGGGUUCAGCCGGCAUUCGUGCCGGUGUACUUCCCCGUGGGCGGGCCAGCGUCGGUUUGGGCGGCCGGUCAAAGGCCCCUGGAAUGUAGUGCCCUCCGGGGCACCUUAUAGCCAGGGGUGCAAUGCGGCCAGCCUGGACCGAGGAACGCGCUUCGGCACGGACGCUGGCAUAAUGGUCGUAAACGACCCGUCUUGAAACACGGACCAAGGAGUCUAACAUCUACGCGAGUGUUCGGGUGUCAAACCCGUGCGCGCAGUGAAAGCGAACGGAGGUGGGAGCCCCCUUGCGGGGCGCACCAUCGACCGAUCCUGAUGUCUUCGGAUGGAUUUGAGUAAGAGCGUAGCUGUGGGGACCCGAAAGAUGGUGAACUAUGCCUGAAUAGGGCGAAGCCAGAGGAAACUCUGGUGGAGGCUCGCAGCGGUUCUGACGUGCAAAUCGAUCGUCAAAUUUGGGUAUAGGGGCGAAAGACUAAUCGAACCAUCUAGUAGCUGGUUCCUGCCGAAGUUUCCCUCAGGAUAGCAGUAACGCAAAAUCAGUUUUAUGAGGUAAAGCGAAUGAUUAGAGGCAUUGGGGUUGAAACAACCUUAACCUAUUCUCAAACUUUAAAUAUGUAAGAAGCCCUUGUUGCUUAGUUGAACGUGGGCAUUAGAAUGGAGCGUUACUAGUGGGCCAUUUUUGGUAAGCAGAACUGGCGAUGCGGGAUGAACCGAACGCGAGGUUAAGGUGCCGGAAUGCACGCUCAUCAGACACCACAAAAGGUGUUAGUUCAUCUAGACAGCCCGACGGUGGCCAUGGAAGUCGGAAUCCGCUAAGGA